rnacentral:tRNA from 1 species
GGGAUGAAGUGUAACGUUUGCACUGCUUCCUCUCAAGAAGCCAGUCCCCGGUUCAAUUCCGGGGCAUCCCA